UGUUGCUCAGGCAGACAGCAAAAAGCCCAACAUCUUGGCAUUUCGGGUUUUCAGGGAAAGAGAUGCUAAGUUGAAGAAAAAUCAGUCCGUUUUUAGAAUUUGUGCAAAUGACUUCACGAAGCUGGUUGAGUCAAGCAGUCUCCCCCCACCUGGAUAUCUGGGUUCUUUGGAGAGCUGUAAGACGGUGCUAAGCACAGCUGAAUUUAUUUUACCAAAUUUCAAGCUUACUUUAUAAAAAACAAUCCUGGGCGACGCCUCAUCAUCAUUACAGCAAAGUGAAGCGCUCAUUUCACAAUUGGUUGUUUCAAGUUAAUAGUGGAUCAACUGAGCAACCGCGAGAAAGAUGAUGUGUUGGCUUCCUUCCGUGUUGUUCCAGAGCUCAGCAGCUGAGUUAACAUAUACGCCGAGCUGUUGGCAGACGCUCCUUCUGGAAAAAUAGGUUUGAUGACUGGUGCUCCAGCAGCCAUCUGGAACCAAAGGUGACUUUGAAGAUGGAAUCCAUAUGCUAAGAAUGGUGGCACAGAGAGGCAGAGAGAACAUGGUUCUCUGAUGACCAUGGAGCCACCAUACCAACCCUGGACCUCCCACCUCCAAACUUCUUUUGGGUGUAUUUCUUUUCUCCGUGGACUCUCCAGAGGUCAAAGAGGAGAAGCCCGGAACUGAGGCAGAAGGAGCUGCCGGGAGGAUUUUAGUGACCUGCUGGGCUCCUUCCGCACCCUUCCUUCACCCUCCAGAUCGGGGCCACUUUCCUCUGCCUCCACUAGCUUAUUGGUUCAAUUAUGAUUGUUCUCUGCCUGCUUCCAGGCUGGAUUUAAAGUAGCUAAAAAAUAAAACACUCAAACAAGAGGACGAUUUCAAAUAAAGAUUAAAAAUGCUAUCAGAAUCCAUUAGAUGGAAGGCGAGAAAAACACAAGUAAGCCAGGAAACUUGGGAAGAAAAUGGUGAUGGAAAAAUGGACAGUUCUUUCUUUGGGUUGUGUUCUCACUGACGACAAAGACUGAUGAGACACUUGAGUCAGGGGAAUACAGGGACUCUUAGCUCAGUA
rnacentral:lncRNA from 1 species